ensembl:lncRNA
UGCAGAGAUCUACCCCGCAAAGCCCUGUGGACCAUCUAAUGUGACUGAAGGGACCACAAUACAUUUCAAGUGUCAAACUAAUAACAUCACUAUAAGCGGGGACAUGGUUCAUUUUUACCUUUGCAAGGAUGGAGUUGGGAUACAAAUGGCACCAAUGAAGAAAGGUGCUGAAUCUGUUUUCUUGUUAAAAGAAGUAAAAAAACAAGACUCGGGCAAGUACAGCUGUGUGUACAGCAUAUGUAAACACCCAAUUAGCCAAGUGAAGUCAACAGGGGAUUAUCUGGUCUUACGGGUCAACGGAGUUGAAGAUGUGGAAGCAUCAACUACAACAGCAUCACCUAUUGUCUUCAUAGAUGUCCCAAAGAUAACAGGUUCCUUGGUCCUCCUAAUUUUGUCAAUGUCUGUCCUGCUUUUACUGUGGAAGUACUGGGGCAUCGUGAAACAAAGUAAGCACAUUUUAGAGUCCAAAUGCUUUGACUGAUUUUGUUUUUAAAUGUC